rnacentral:rRNA from 1 species
UGAGGAAUAUUGGUCAAUGGGCGAGAGCCUGAACCAGCCAAGUCGCGUGAAGGAAGAAGGAUCUAUGGUUGUAAACUUCUUUUGCAGGGGAAUAAAGUGCAUCGCUACGAGUAGCGUUUUGUAAGUACCUUGCGAAUAAGGAUCGGCUAACUCCGUGCCAGCA